GCAGUGGGAGCACCCUUUGGGUGUGACUGCGUACCUUUUGUAUAAUGGGUCAGCGACUUAUAUUCUGUAGCAAGGUUAACCGAAUAGGGGAGCCGGAGGGAAACCGAGUCUUAACCGGGCGUUAAGUUGCAGGGUAUAGACCCGAAACCCGGUGAUCUAGCCAUGGGCAGGUUGAAGGUUGGGUAACACUAACUGGAGGACCGAACCGACUAAUGUUGAAAAAUUAGCGGAUGACCUGUGGCUGGGGGUGAAAGGCCAAUCAAACCGGGAGAUAGCUGGUUCUCCCCGAAAGCUAUUUAGGUAGCGCCUCGUGAAUUCAUCUCCGGGGGUAGAGCACUGUUUCGGCUAGGGGGCCAUCCCGGCUUACCAACCCGAUGCAAACUGCGAAUACCGGAGAAUGUUAUCACGGGAGACACACGGCGGGUGCUAACGUCCGUCGUGAAGAGGGAAACAACCCAGACCGCCAGCUAAGGUCCCAAAGUCAUGGUUAAGUGGGAAACGAUGUGGGAAGGCCCAGACAGCCAGGAUGUUGGCUUAGAAGCAGCCAUCAUUUAAAGAAAGCGUAAUAGCUCACUGGUCGAGUCGGCCUGCGCGGAAGAUGUAACGGGGCUAAACCAUGCACCGAAGCUGCGGCAGCGACACUGUGUGUUGUUGGGUAGGGGAGCGUUCUGUAAGCCUGCGAAGGUGG
rnacentral:rRNA from 1 species